AGAUGCUCCAGGACUAGCUGUUUUUAUUUCAAGAAUGGCCAAGUAGAUAUGUGUUAGACUUGGGUUUAUGAAAGAGUCAAAGCAAAACAGCCUGUUCUACAGUGAAACACAGGGAGGUCUCACGAUGAGUUGCCCCAAUUCUCUGAGCUCGGGAUAAACAGGGCUGAUUCAUUGUGAAAGCAUCUUUGCUCAGAUCUCAUUACAGUGCUUAAGAGGUUGCCCCAACUGUCCUCAGGUAUGAACCAGAGAAUAUGCUACAGCCCAGGGAAAGGGUUGAUCACAGCUGUCCUACUGAGAGCAGGCCUUUUUCUUUAUUAUCAACAGCAACAACAAUAACAGCAACUGUCACCACCACAAAAGAAGACCCCAAUUUCAGCUCAUUAUCAGACAGCUGAAUUCUAAAUCAAAAUUGUGGAGGAGAGAUGUGCAACCUGAAUAAAACAUUUCCAGAAGAGCCUGAAUAACAGUCUUGAAUAAAGGGAACUGCAAUGUUCUUGAAUGAUAAUUGGAAAAAAAUUAAGAAUGUGUACUCAGGAACAUAUGUACUAACAAGAGGGCAUUCAGAAAUUAGCAAACACAUUUGUCAGAUUUAUACAAGAUUCCUGAGAAACUGGAGAAAGAAGUAAAGAUGGAUUGAAGAAGACUCAAGAUUAGAGUCAAUCUCUGAUCCCACAGGCUUUAUGGUCUACAGGAGGCCCUUUGAAUUCUGAGCUAAGAAAUAUGGAUUUUACUCUCUAGGCAUCGGGGAGCUGUUGUGACUAUCUGAACAGCCUACAUACUGACACAGUGCCAGGCUUAUUUCAAGAUUUUUAACUCAGUCAACACCAACUGGCAUGUGUUAAACUAGGAGAAAAAAAGAAAUCAAACAGAAUAAGAAUUACCGGAAAUCAACUGCACUUUCUGGAUGAAGAACCUUGGUAAUUGAAUUGUUACAUAGCCACUAGGUAUAGGGAAAGGAAUACAGAAUGCCCAAGAUAAAACUGAGGAGAAUUAUUGAGUCUGUUAAAUUAGAUUUGAAUAAUUUGCUCCUGUGAUAGAACCUAUUCCUAUAGGAAAGCAUCAUAAGACUGAACCUGAAAAGAAAAUUACUGUCAGUCCUAAAGCUCAUUGACAACAUGGCAGCAUUACCAGAUAUGUAGCACAUUAAGUAACAUAACCGGGUCCCUGGUUAUGGCUGACCAUCAGCAUCAGGAAACAAGCAUUGCAUAUGUAUUAGGUUUGGAGUAACUUUAUUUCCUUUUUCUGUAUGUGUGAAAAAGAACGAGCAAAUGGAAGGAUUUGAAGUUUUUCUCUUUUUGACAUUUUACUGAAUAAAUUGAGGCUAGCCUGGAAUUUUAAAAUCUCUUGAAAAUAUAUUUUCACUGUUUUCAUUACAGGCUAACUCUGCACAUUUUGGUGUAAGCAUUUGUUUAAAUAACCUUACACAUGUGGGUGUAUGCCAUAAGGUGAGGGAAAAAAAGGUAGUGUCAGAUAGUAUAUUUUUGCUCUAGAAAGAACUGUUGAUUUGUAAUGAGGAAAAAUGAAAUUAAAUAUUAAAUACAUUGAAAAAUACUGGUUUAAGUUGUAUCACAACAGUGUAUUGCAAUGAUUUUUUCCAAAGCUAAAAGUUGUCCCAACAUAAUUCUAGUGUUUCUAAAAAGUUAUUUUUACCUUAAAACCUUUCAAAAUAAUCUUCCCUUAUAUUUGACACUUACAGAAUACCCUCUACUCACUCAGGUGCUUUAAAGCAAUUUUUGAGGGCCAGCCAGAUCCCUUCUUGCAGCUGUAAGGAUGGGUUUGUUUACUGGUCUUUGAUAAGAAUAACACCUUUGGGUAAGGUU